AACGAACGCUGGCGGCAUGCCUAACACAUGCAAGUCGAACGAGACCUUCGGGUCUAGUGGCGCAUGGGUGCGUAACGCGUGGGAACCUGCCCUUAGGUUCGGAAUAACUCCCCGAAAGGGGUGCUAAUACCGGAUAAUGUCUUCGGACCAAAGAUUUAUCGCCUUUGGAUGGGCCUGCGUUGGAUUAGCUAGUUGGUAGGGUAAAAGCCUACCAAGGCGACGAUCCAUAGCUGGUCUGAGAGGAUGAUCAGCCACACUGGGACUGAGACACGGCCCAGACUCCUACGGGAGGCAGCAGUGGGGAAUAUUGGACAAUGGGCGAAAGCCUGAUCCAGCAAUGCCGCGUGAGUGAUGAAGGCCUUAGGGUUGUAAAGCUCUUUUACCCGGGAUGAUAAUGACAGUACCGGGAGAAUAAGCUCCGGCUAACUCCGUG
rnacentral:rRNA from 1 species